rnacentral:tRNA from 1 species
GGAGAGGUGGCUGAGUGGCCGAAAGCGCACGAUUGGAAAUCGUGUAUAUCCUGAAAGGGGUAUCGAGGGUUCGAAUCCCUCCCUCUCCA